GAUCAGGGCGGGGCCAGAUGUUUACAUUCCCGCGUGCGCUGGCCCUCCCCGCGCAGUGGCUGGAGAAGCGGAGCUGAGGUAGUACUUAGUGGGGCAUCCGCAGUCACUCCAAGGAGGCUUCUCGGCUGGGCUGCAGGGCGAGGAGAUCCCUGGUCAGUCCGCAGACUCGCGGCUUGAAAGCCACGAGCAGAUCCAUAUCAAGUGAUAGAUCAGAAAAUACAGCAUCGAGUAUGGAUAUUUGUCGUCUUGCCCUGGGCAGCAAGUCAAGGAAUGAACUCCACCAGCCCUCCUUGUGCCUGACCCAAGGCGGACUUCAGCCUGUCCGCCUCUGGCCCCUGGAAAUUUCCACUCUGACCAAGCUGAAAUGUCUCCCUGAAUGUCAGCCUAUCCUGGGCUUCCCUGGGAGCCACAUAAGGAAGACGAAGGUAUGACCGAGGCCUUGGUGGAUGCAUCUCUGUAGAUGAAAUAACACCGGAAGGUGUGGGUGAUGUGGACUCUUUGGAGGAGAGGGAGGCUGGAGGGUCGCUUGGGCCUCGCAGGUUCUUGACUGUCUUUCAUGUUUCAUGACACCCACUCUCCUUAGGGCUUCAGAAAUCCUAAAGGAUUUAUCAGAAUAAAACUACAGGUGGUUUUCAUUAGUUUGGGACCGUGCCUCUGACUGGUUUUGGUUUUGUUGUUGUUGUUGGCAGGCGGUGGAACCACUGAGCUAAAUCCUCGG